rnacentral:sRNA from 12 species
UUCAGGAGGUCCCCAAAUGAUGCGCAGCAUCAUUUUUGCAUGGGACCGACGACCUGCCGCCGAAGCUUUGGCUGAGGGGGCGACACUUAAG